UUAAACCCUUCCCUGCUGCUGCUGGUCUCCGGAAGCUCCAUCUCUUCUUCUCCUUUGGUGUGGGCACUGGGAUUGGAGCUGAUUGGGCCUCUGUCGGCAAUGGAGAUGUUAAGAAGGAGUUGGGAGCCAUUUGCACAGAAAAAGCUACAUGAGACAAGGAAACAAGCAUCCAUAUGCCUCAGACAGAAAGGAACUUAUAUCUGUUAUCAAUCUCUGGCCCAGCCCCGCAGGAAAAUGAGAAAAAUAUGACCCUGGUAAGCAAUUUGCUAGCUGCAAGAUUGAUCUAAUA